CCGGGGGCCACCCCCCAGGAAAGCCUGUCACUCGGCAUCGGGUUUUCAGUGGCUGGCGCUGUUUUCCGACUUGGGGUUUCAGAUACGGCUGCUGACACCGGAAGGCUUUCGGACUUGGGGCAUGUUACGGCAGACCGAUAAGGCAAGUGAAUUUGCCUGCCUUUUCUGUCUUAAGAGGACUCGUUAGGAAGGGAACAGGAUUUUGUCUCUGGGGAAACAAAAGCCAACACAGGGAGAGCCGUAGAAUGCCCUGGACUUCACCUGGGGCACUUCUUAUAAUGUGGGCGGUCCUCAGCCUGACACAGCCCCUAUGGAACAGACCCCAAGGGCUGCGGCUCCACAGAGCCUUCCAGCGCUCUCGGUGGACGUGGGGUCUCGAGGGCGGGUGACCUGAACACAGGCCCGUCCGUCAGCUGCCAUCACAUUAACGCUGCAUAAGAGCAUAUGCUGGAGUAGAGUCAGGUCCAGGGACAGACUCCUCCCUGGAGGUGACCCACACGGCUGGGGCAGAGCUCUGGCUCCUGGCUCGGCCCAGCUCCCGGGUCCCCCUCACUGGGAGAUGGACUCUGCACUGGCAGGAAGAACCUUCCAGCAGGUGCCUGCUUUGGGGGCGUUCCUCACCCAGUUCUGGUUCCAUCUCUGAACAAUUGAUGAGGUGAGUCACUUAUUUGCGUGACGGAUUUGGGGAUUUGACCGCACCCAGACUCUCAUUCCACCAGAAAUGCCUGUGCCCCGGCAGGCCACGCCUCCUGGAGCCUUUCCCGCGCAAACACGGGUCGGCCCCGGCCCCGGGGGCUGGCGAGGGCGGUGCAUCUCCGGCUGCUUCUGCGGGUUGGUGGAAGUGAAUGCCCCUUGACGUUGUCCCUUUCCCCCCUCAGGCCAGCUGCCGAGGCCUGCUCACACCUGCAGCCUCGGCAGACCUACCCCGUGUAGCAGCUGGACUGUGGUCUCUGCCCGCGCAUGCCUGCCAGCCCGCCAGGGCCACCGGCCCCCCGGGUCCCUCCCCUGAGCCCACCCAGCACCGCUCUGGCAGCUGGGAGCCUCUCCUCGCAGACGCACGACAGCCUGUCUGGGUCUUAGUGCCUUUAGCUUGCUGGUCGUGGCCUCGCCCCAAACCUACCAUCUCCGCAGUGGUGACGGGACCUGCCCGACCUCUGUGGCCCACGCUCAAACCAGGCAUUGGAGGAGCUGGGUAACCUGUGUGUGUGUGUGUGUGCGCGCGCGCGUGCAUAUACGUGCAGUCACAUAUAUGUGCUUGUGUUUCUCUCUUAUUGAUCCCCAAAUGUACAUUACUGUAUCUGACCUAAUUUUGAUCAUUUUUUUGCAGACCAUUGUUUCCAGCAGUCAAUUAUAAUUUGCACGGGUGUGACAUUUCCCGAACCUGGUGUUCCCUGGCUGGUCAGUUUGGGAAACGGGCCAACCUUUGAGGAGUCAAAUUAUGAUUUUGACAGGCUACCUGUCAUUCCUGACCCCCACACUCCCCCAAACAGGGGAGCAUUUUAUCUGGAGGAUUCUUUUCUUUUUUUUUAUUAAAAAAUUUUUUUAAAUGUUUAUUUAUUUUUGAGAGAGAGUGAGAGAGACAUAGUGUGAGCGGGGGGGAGGGGCAGAGAGAGACAGAGACCCAGAAUCCGAGCUGUCAGCACAGAGCCUGAUGUGGGGCUUGAACCCAUGAACUGAGAGAUCAUGCCCUGAGCCGAAGCUGGAUGCUUAACGGACGGAGCCACCCAGGCGCCCCUGGAGAAUCCUUUUCUUUUUAAAUGUUUAUUUAUUUAUUUUGAGGGAGAGAGAACACGUGUCCAUGCAGGUGCAUGUGUGCAUAAGCUAGAGGGGGAGGGGCAGAGAGGAAGAGAGAAUCACUCCCAAGCAGGCUCCACACCCAGCACAGGGCCCGACACAGGACUCCAUCCCACGAACCGGGAGAUCGUGACCCGAGCCGAAAUCAAGAGUCGGACACUCAGCCGGCUGAGGCACCCAGGUGCCCCUGGAGCAUUCUGAAACUCUUCUUGAGGUUUCUAUCAACACUGUUGGGGUGGGGGGGUCCCAGAAACCAGGCUGGAAGGCCUGGGGCUGUGUGAGCGACGCAGGAGUGAAACACAGAGCAGCCCGUCUGGGGCACUCCUGCACAUGCCUUUGGCUCCUGCUUCUGUGUGUUGGGAUCAGAUGCACGGGGCAGGCCCGGCUCAUGGUUUGCAAUCGUUAGUCCUUCCCCUGGCUCACCAGGAGUGAGCCCCAGCACUCACAGUCAGUGUCUCGCGGGCAGUCUGUUUGGAACAGCGUUGCAGAGAUGUGUCAGUUAUUCGCGUCAUGGGCAAAAUCGUUAUUGAACAGACGGCAGCAACCUGACCUUCAGUUGGAAAAGCUGACUCAAUACCCACCGCUUCAGUGUCUCCCUCUGUAAAUGGGGAUUCGGAGAUUUCCCACCCCAAAGGGCAUGUGAGGAUCGCACAGACUGACGUGUGCAAAGCUUUGACACGAUAGAGCCAAGAGGGGUCCGUAGGCUGAGUUGUGCCUCCUCCAAAUCAUACGGUGAAGCCCUGACCUCCAGCCUCUGAAUGUGGCAGUAUGGCCUUUACAGAGGUGAUAAAGGUACAACGAGGUCAUCGGUUGAAGGUACAGUCCGACCUGGUUGGUGUUCUUACAAGAAUUCGGGACAGACAUACACAGAGAGAGACCAUGUGAAGACACGGGUAAAGCCAACAUCCACCCACCCGAGAGAGAGGUCUCAGGAGGAAGCAGCCCUGCUCACGCCAGGAUCUCGGACCUCCAGCCUCUAGCACUGGGAGGCAACGAGUUUCUCUCAUUUAAGACACCCGGCCUGCGCGGCUCUGUUCUGGCAGCCUCAGGGCACUGAUACUCAGGUGCUCAGAAAGAAUGUGUUGCUACCAGUGGGUUUUCUCAGGGGGCUUUCUGGCGUUUUAAAGUGUGGCACUCCAUUUCUUAAGGGCACCUGAGAUGCUUAGAACUUUUCCUAUGUGUUUUUAAAAAUGUAUUUUAGGAAAGUAAGUAUUAGCACAUUUUGCCGCUAUUGAGAAAUACAACGGUAUCUGUUUUAAAAAUACACGUGUGGUUCUGUUCCAUGGAGCCCCGGAUAUCACCGGUCCACACCAUCACCCCAUAGCUGCGGGGUCAGCAGACUCCUGAAACCGUCUCGAGGCCCGCCGUGUGCCUGGUACCGGGGCUAUGCCAGGGACUGCCACCGUCUCCGACCUCAUGGGACCCAGGUCCCAGCAAGGGAGACCGCCAGCCAGCACACAGAGUCAGACUCCAGCAGCCGUCAUGACUCUCCACUCACAUCCGUUGUCAUUGUCGCGCUGUGGAGCUCCUGCCGAGGUCCCCAGUGACAAGUGCCAGGGUCAACGGCUGUGACUUCCGCUGGGAUCCCAGAGCUGGCGGGGAAGGAAGGCAGCCCAUCGCAAACACGGGUACGCAAGCGAUGUCUCCCCGACUCCUUUAAGUGCAGGGAAUGCUGAGGCCCAGCUUUGGUGGCGCCCCCGGUAGGAGUGGGGGGCGGGGAGAGGGGGAGGGGCAGGCGAGCCUCCCGCCGUGUCUAUAAGGUGGCUGCCUCCUCCGGCUGCCCACCUGGCCCACUACACAGCGCAUGCAGACCCGUGCCUGAGAGUCACUCCUGGCCCCGUGGACGCCCCAGGGCACCUGGUCUGGGUGAGAGAGAAGUGCCAGGGUGGGCUGGUGUCUCACGGAGAGGAGGGAGGGUCACCGGGGUGGGAAGGGGCAGAGAAGGCCCCCCUGGGCAGUGACCCUUAAAAGGAUCUCGGGUGAAUUCUCACGGCUGACCAGCAGGAAGAGGGAGAACUCGUCCUUUAGGACAGAGCUGUCCCAGCCCCAGGCGACGGGGGCCUGGGGUCCAGCCCCAGGGUGGUGCGGGCUCGCUCAGGUCUCCAUGUGUGAGCGGAUGAGUGCUCCAAGCUCUGUACCUGUCAGGGGGUUUGGGAUUGUCUAUCGGGGAGGGAAGAACAGGGGUUCCAGUCCUUCCCGGGGCUGCCUCCCAGAGCCAUAAAUUACGUCCAUUAUGUGCUGGACGUAAAUUACGGUUUAUUAGUUUCCUAGAGUGUCUGUGACAAAGUCCCGCAGACUGUGAGGCUUAAAGCACGGGAGUUUAUUCUCUCGCGGUUCUGGGGGCCAGAAGCUCUAAAUCAAGAUGUCAGCAGGGUGUGCUUCCUCUGAAAGAUCUGGGGGACAAUGUGUUCCUUGGCUCUCUCCCGGCUUCUGGUGUUGCUGGCCAUCCUUGGAGUUCCUGGGUUUGAGGACGGGUCCCUCUGACCUCAGCCUCUGCCACCCGUGGCUGAUUGUCCCCGUGUCUCUGCAUGUCCUCUCCUCUUCUUAUAGGGACACCAAGCAUUGGAUUUAGGGCCCACCCUAUUCCGGUCUGACCUCAUCUUAACUAAUUAUAUCUGCAGUGACCCUAUUGCCAAAUAAGUCACAGUCGCAGGUCCCAGGGGUGAGGACGUGGCCGUGUCUUCCCGUGGGGAACGCACGAUUUAAUCCACAAUGGAUAGUAAGGUGUCUCCCUCCCUUUAGGAACCACGGGGUGUGCGCUGCGGGAUGUGGCCCGUGGUUCAGUCCCCACUGACGGUCGCCCAGGUGUGGCCUGUGCUGGCUGUAUUUCACCCGCAUUCCAGGGGACUGUCACACCCCGGGAGUCACCAGGGCUGCCCGUGUCGGUGGCUUUCUGAGGACGAGCUGAAGCUGUUGCCAUUAAGUGGGGGCUCCGGAAACGUC